rnacentral:rRNA from 1 species
UUAUAAUAUUUUAGUACGAAAGGACCAAAUAUUAGAAUAAUUAUAUUUUAAAAAAGAAUAUUAUUAAUAUA